GAGAGUGUGGCGUAAUGGCUUGAGCACUGGACUACAACUCUGGAGAUCAGGGUUCAAUUCCCAACUUGGCCA